rfam:Desulfobacca acetoxidans DSM 11109, complete genome.
GGUCAAGCAAGUAAGGGCGUUCGGUGGAUGCCUUGGCGUUGGAAGGCGAUGAAGGACGUGGUUAGCUGCGAUAAGCUUCGGGGAGCCGCUCACAGGCUUUGAUCCGGAGAUUUCCGAAUGGGGCAACCCAUCCAGGGUAAUGCCUGGAUAUCCGUCACUGAAUCCAUAGGUGGCGGAGGCGAACGAGGGGAACUGAAACAUCUAAGUACCCUCAGGAAGAGAAAUCAAUUGAGAUUCCCUCAGUAGCGGCGAGCGAACGGGGAAGAGCCCAAACCGAUGGCGUGUUCAAGUCGGCAAGCGUUGCGCCAUUGGGGUUGUGGGGCUGAAUCGGAGGCGGUUGCCGCCGCCUCGGAAAGUUACAAAACUUGUCGUUAGUCGAAGCGUCUGGAAAGUCGCACCAUAGAGGGUGACAGUCCUGUAGGCGAAAACGUCAAGUCUUUCUGGAUUCAGUUCCCGAGUACCACGGGGCACGUGGAACCUUGUGGGAAUCUGGGAGGACCAUCUUCCAAGGCUAAAUACUAACCAGCGACCGAUAGUGAACCAGUACCGUGAGGGAAAGGUGAAAAGUACGGGGUGACCCGAGUGAAAUAGUACCUGAAACCGUCCGCCUACAAGCUGUGGAAGGGCGAUAGCUAGUUUCGGCUAGCUCGCCUGACUGCGUGCCUUUUGCAUAAUGAGUCAGCGACUUACUCUCGGUGGCCAGGUUAAGCCGUAAGGUGGAGCCGUAGCGAAAGCGAGUCUGAAUAGGGCGUAUUAGUCGCCGGGAGUAGACCCGAAGCCGGGUGAUCUAUCCAUGGCCAGGGUAAAGUCCGGGUAACACCGGAUGGAGGCCCGAACCAGUUAACGUUGAAAAGUUAUUGGAUGAGCUGUGGAUCGGAGUGAAAGGCUAAUCAAACCCGGUAAUAGCUGGUUCUCCCCGAAAUAUAUUGAGGUAUAGCCUCGCAUGAUGAGUAGCGGAGGUAGAGCACUGAAUGGGCUAGGGGUCUCACAAGAUUACCAAACCCAAUCAAACUCCGAAUGCCGCUAGCUUUAGUGCGGGAGUCAGUCUGCGGGUGAUAAGAUCCGUGGGCGAGAGGGAAAGAUCCCAGAUCGCCGGCUAAGGUCCCAAAAUCUGUGCUAAGUGGGAAAGGAUGUGGAAACGCCCAGACAGCCAGGAGGUUGGCUUAGAAGCAGCCAUCCUUUAAAGAAAGCGUAAUAGCUCACUGGUCGAGUGGGUCUGCGCCGAAAAUUUAACGGGGCUCAAGCACAGUACCGAAGCCGCGGGAUCAAUGCCUGGCAUUGAUCGGUAGGGGAGCAUUGUCGUAACCGUAGAAGGCAUACCGUAAGGAGUGCUGGAGGACCGACAAGAGAUUAUGCUGACAUGAGUAGCGAUAAAGGGGGCGAGAAACCCCCUCGCCGUAAGCCUAAGGUUUCCUGGGUAAAGUUAAUCUUCCCAGGGUUAGUCGAUCCCUAAGCCGAGGCCGAAAGGCGUAGGUGAUGGAAAGCAGGUUGAUAUUCCUGCACCACCUGGUGCGCAGUGACCGAUGGAGGGACGCAGGAGGGUAGGCCAUCCGGGUGUUGGACGUCCCGGUUCAAGCAGGUAGGCGGGAGAUUUAGGCAAAUCCGGAUCUCCAUAACGCCGAGAAGUGAUGAGGAGGGCUUAUGCCCGCAAACUGGCUGAUCCCAUACUGCCAAGAAAAGCUUCUAGGUAGUUCACUAGGUGAUCGUACUGCAAACCGACACAGGUAGGCAGGGAGAGUAUCCCAAGGCGCUUGAGAGAACCCUGGUUAAGGAACUCGGCAAAAUGACACCGUAACUUCGGGAGAAGGUGUGCCCCCGGUAGGUGAAGGACUUCGCGUCCCGAGCCCAGGGGGGUUGCAGAGAAAUGGGGGUGGCAACUGUUUACUAAAAACACAGGACUCUGCGAAGCCGCAAGGCGAUGUAUAGGGUCUGACGCCUGCCCGGUGCCGGAACGUUAAGGGGAGGAGUCAUCUGGGCAACUGGAGAAGCUCUGAACCGAAGCGCCGGUAAACGGCGGCCGUAACUAUAACGGUCCUAAGGUAGCGAAAUUCCUUGUCGGGUAAGUUCCGACCUGCACGAAUGGCGUAAUGAUUGCCCCGCUGUCUCAACCAGGGACUCAGCGAAAUUGUAUUCGCGGUGAAGAUGCCGCGUUCCCGCAACUAGACGGAAAGACCCCGUGCACCUUUACUACAGCUUGGCAUUGAAUUUUGGGCUAACUUGUGUAGGAUAGGUGGGAGGCUAUGAAGUCCGGACGCUAGUCCGGAUGGAGCCAACCUUGAAAUACCACCCUGGUUAGUUUAGAGUUCUAACUCAGGCCCGUUAUCCGGGUCGAGGACACUGCCUGGCGGGUAGUUUGACUGGGGCGGUCGCCUCCCAAAAGGUAACGGAGGCGCGCGAAGGUUCCCUCAGGCUGAUUGGAAACCAGUCGUAGAGUGUAAAGGCAUAAGGGAGCUUGACUGCGAGACCUACAAGUCGAGCAGGUACGAAAGUAGGCCUUAGUGAUCCGGCGGUUCUGUAUGGAAAGGCCGUCGCUCAACGGAUAAAAGGUACGCCGGGGAUAACAGGCUGAUCUCCCCCAAGAGUUCACAUCGACGGGGAGGUUUGGCACCUCGAUGUCGGCUCAUCGCAUCCUGGGGCUGAAGCAGGUCCCAAGGGUUUGGCUGUUCGCCAAUUAAAGCGGUACGUGAGCUGGGUUUAAAACGUCGUGAGACAGUUUGGUCCCUAUCUGUUGCGGGCGUUGGAGAUUUGAGAGGAUCUGUCCUUAGUACGAGAGGACCGGGAUGGACGAACCUCUGGUGUUCCAGUUGUGCCGCCAGGCGCAGCGCUGGGUAGCUAUGUUCGGACCGGAUAACCGCUGAAAGCAUCUAAGCGGGAAACCGACCUCAAGAUUAGAUCUCCCGGGCCUUCGGGUCCCUAAAGGCCCCUCGAAGAUCACGAGGUUGAUAGGCCAGGUGUGUAAGCGCAGUAAUGCGUUCAGCUAACUGGUACUAAUAGGCCGUGCGGCUUGACCAU